GGAUUUGAAGCCUGGACCCGGCUCGGAACGCUCCUUUGGACUUUUCAAGCCUGAUCUUUCCACGACUUAUGAUGCUGGCCUCUCGAAAAAUUCCCAGGCUCCUACAGCUCCAGUGACCCCUGCUCCAGUAACACCGACAACUCCAAUAACUCCGGUUACACCAGCACCAAAGCCAACAGGAUCAGCUACAUGGUGCUUGCCAAAGCCAGGAAUUCCUGAUUCUGAAUUACAGUCAAACCUCGACUACGCCUGUAGUAUGGGUAUUGACUGUAGCCCUAUUCAAGAAGGCGGUCCAUGCUUUGAACCAAAUACUGUUGCAUCGCAUGCUGCUUAUGCUAUGAAUGUUCUUUAUCAAACUGCUGGAAGGAAUCCCUGGAACUGCGAUUUCUCUCAGACCGCUUCCCUCACCUCAACAAAUCCUAGUUACAAUGGCUGUACUUAUCCUGGUGGCAACUUAUAACGCAAAGCAUCUAAAUAUAUUUUAUUAUGAUGGAGUAGUUUAUGUAACUAAAAAAAUUGGUCGAUAAAUAAUCCCAUCUACCCCCUUUUUCCUUUUGCUAAAAUGAUCAGGAUUGUCUUCGAAGAAGAACUAUAUAAAUUUGAAGUGUAUAGUUCCUUAAUACUAUUAUUUUCUUUCCAAACAACAUAUCCCGAGUAAUGCCGUUGGAUUAAAGAUGGGGUAUUGGCAGACCAUUGGAAACAUCCG
rnacentral:misc_RNA from 1 species